ensembl:snRNA U1 U1 spliceosomal RNA
AUACUUACCUGGCAGGGGAAGAUACGAUGAUCGAAGGUGGUUUUCCCAGGGCGAGGCUUAUCCAUUGCACUCUGGAUGUGCUGACCCUGCGAUUUCCCCAAAUGUGGGAAACUCGACUGCAUAAUUUGUGGUAGUGGGGGACUGCGUUCGCGCUUUCCUCCG